rnacentral:misc_RNA from 1 species
CGCACCUUGCGCCUUUUGGUAUUCCAAAAGGCAUGCCUGUUUGAGUGUCAUGUAGACUCAACCUCCGAGGUUUUUUGACCUUGUUGGAUUGGACUUGGGCGCCUGCCUCUGGCUCGCCUUAAAAGCGUUAGUGGGAUAAACCGAAAGCCCGAUGUAAUAAGUUUCAUCUGGUCUAGGUGACGCCUGCUCACAACCCCAUCUUUAUGACUCUGACCUCAAAUCAGGUAGGACUACCCGCUGAACUUAA